rnacentral:misc_RNA from 1 species
AGCAGCCGCGGUAAUUCCAGCUCCAAUAGCGUAUAUUAAAGUUGUUGCAGUUAAAAAGCUCGUAGUUGAAUUUCGGGAUCAAUAUGUUGGUCGUGCCUUGGUACGUACUGGCAUUAUCGAUUCCUACCUUCUGAAGAACCUCGAUGUCAUUAAUUUGGUGUCUUGGGGAAUCAGGACUGUUACUUUGAAAAAAUUAGAGUGUUUAAAGCAGGCUCGCGCUUGAAUACAUUAGCAUGGAAUAAUGAAAUAGGACGUUUGAUUCUAUUUUGUUGGUUUCUAGGAUUGACGCAAUGAUUAAUAGGGAUAGUUGGGGGCAUUAGUAUUCAAUUGUCAGAGGUGAAAUUCUUGGAUUUAUUGAAGACUAACUACUGCGAAAGCAUUUGCCAAGGAUGUUUUCAUUAAUCAAGAACGAAAGUUAGGGGAUCGAAGACGAUCAGAUACCGUCGUAGUCUUAACCAUAAACUAUGCCGACUAGGGAUCGGAUGAUGUUAAUUUUUUAAUGACUCAUUCGGCGCCUUAC